UCGCAGGCGGUGGUGAAAUUAAAGAUCGACUAAGCAUGUAGUACCAAAGAUGAAUGGUUUUCGGACGCGGGUUCAACUCCCGCCAGCUCCACCA
rnacentral:tmRNA from 1 species